rnacentral:lncRNA from 1 species
CGAGUGCAAAACACAUAUUUCAUAAUCAAAAAUAAGUUUAGAUGUCUAAAACAUUCAUUUAAGGUGAAAUUAUGACUAUUUGAAUAUAAUAAAAAUAUUCAAUAAAAUAUUCUAUUUUCUUAUAAAACAAUUUUUAUAGAGUUAUUUGUUAGAAAUUUUUAUAGCAUAAAAGCGAAAUAAAUUCAUACAUAUUGUAAUACAGAUAGUCAAGGUAUGUAAUUUAAUUUACAAUGACACGUGGGCCCCCAAAUGACUAAAAGUAAUGAAGGUUGUGAACCUACAGUUUUUGAGGAUACAAGUCCAGCUAUAGCCCUAAACGAAAUGAGCUAUCUACCGACUAUCCUGAGCCUGAAAUGGGUGGAAAGGAGGGUGAUGAGAUUAUAUAAUCCUAGUGAGUAAACAAAUAUCAUCUAAAAUAUCUAAAGCUGAGUAAAUGGAGACAGAUAAAAUAGAUUAGCAUAAAAAUGAUUCACAGCAUUUUGAACUCAUUUUAAUAAGAUAAAAUAGAUUCAUUUCACACAAAUAAACAACAAGGCUUAUGAUUUCUUGAAAAGCUUGGCUCGUGCCAAAAUCAUUCUCAUACUCGGUUGUCAGGGAUACCUUGGCCUGGAGCUAUCCCAACCGAGUCUGCCAAGGCUGUUAAAAAAGUCAUGUACGCAUAAAUCAUGUUUUUAUUUUGAAACAUAGUCGUUCCUUGGCGUUGGCUGAGUUCACCUUCACGUGGUGGUUUGGGGUGAAGUGAACUCUAAAGUUUUACCUUAGGAGUUAACCUAAGCGCUUCUUGUACCGAGGUAAAAUAUAACAGGGUUACCGUACCCCUCUAAUAGGCUGGUCCACAGAAACCCACCACUGUAGUGACUAAUCUAUAACCCACCAAUUUAAUAAAAAUUUUGACAGCAUGACAUGGCAAUUUUAUCAUUAUCAAGCCUAUCAAGGCAAACAACAGUUUAUACAUUUUCAAUACAAAUACCCAUCUAGCCAUUCAUGCCCACAUUAUCAUAAGCCAUUUAAUUCAAAACAUAAUUUACAAUACAGCAAGUAGUCUCCAAUUACUCCAUUUUCAAGUCAUCAUUAAAUUUCAAAAUAAUUUAUAAAAUCAUUUCAUUUAAACACAUUUUUCAUAAAAUUACAAAAUCGGAUAAAAAAAUACUUUAGAUAAUUAAGACGAUAAUAAGGUUACUCACUAUAAUGGGAAUUGAGUUCCGAGUACUCCGAUUCUUAAUCCUCGGGUACUAUCUCUUUACUUUUGCCAGAAUGCUCACC